UNUGGCUCAACUGGGGGCGUGCGGUGGGUACGGGCUGGCUUGAGUGCGGUAGGGGAGGCUGGAACUCCUGGUGUAGCGGUGGAAUGCGCAGAUACCAGGAAGAACACCGGUGGCGAAGGCGGGUCUCUGGGCCGUUACUGACGCUGAGGAGCGAAAGCGUGGGGAGCGAACAGGAUUAGAUACCCUGGUAGUCCACGCUGUAAACGUUGGGCACUAGGUGUGGGGGCCACCCGUGGUUCCCGCGCCGUAGCUAACGCUUUAAGUGCCCCGCCUGGGGAGUACGGCCGCAAGGCUAAAACUCAAAGGAAUUGACGGGGGCCCGCACAAGCGGCGGAGCAUGCGGAUUAAUUCGAUGCAACGCGAAGAACCUUACCAAGGCUUGACAUGCGCCCCGGGCGCGCGGAGACGCGCGCGCAUUUGGUUGGGGGUGUGCAGGUGGUGCAUGGUUGUCGUCAGCUCGUGUCGUGAGAUGUUGGGUUAAGUCCCGCAACGAGCGCAACCCUUGCCCUAUGUUGCCAGCGCGUUGUGGCGGGGACUCGUGGGGGACUGCCGGGGUUAACUCGGAGGAAGGUGGGGAUGACGUCAAAUCAUCAUGCCCCUUAUGUCUUGGGCUUCACGCAUGCUACAAUGGCCGGUACAGAGGGUUGCGAUGCCGUGAGGCGGGGCGAAUCCCUUAAAGCCGGUCUCAGUUCGGAUUGGGGUCUGCAACUCGACCCCAUGAAGGUGGAGUCGCUAGUAAUCGCAGAUCAGCAACGCUGCGGUGAAUACGUUCUCGGGCCUUGUACACACCGCCCGUCACGUCACGAAAGUUGGUAACGCCCGAAGCCCAUGGCCCAACCGGCUC
rnacentral:rRNA from 1 species